UACGUAGGGUGCGAGCGUUGUCCGGAAUUAUUGGGCGUAAAGAGCUUGUAGGCGGUUUGUCGCGUCUGCUGUGAAAUCUCAAGGCUCAACCUUGAGCUUGCAGUGGGUACGGGCAGACUAGAGUGUGGUAGGGGAGACUGGAAUUCCUGGUGUAGCGGUGAAAUGCGCAGAUAUCAGGAGGAACACCGAUGGCGAAGGCAGGUCUCUGGACAGUUCCUGACACUGAGACACGAAGGCCAGGGGAGCAAACGGG
rnacentral:rRNA from 1 species